rnacentral:rRNA from 1 species
AGAAUCAACGCUGGCGGCGUGCCUAACACAUGCAAGUCGCACGAGAAAGGGGAGCAAUCCCUGAGUAAAGUGGCGCACGGGUGAGUAACACGUGAAUUAUCUACCUCCGAGUGGGGAAUAACCUAGAGAAAUCUGGGCUAAUACCGCAUAACACUUACGAGUCAAAGCAGUAAUGCGCUUGGAGAGGAGUUCGCGGCAGAUUAGCUAGUUGGCGGGGUAAUGGCCCACCAAGGCAAUGAUCUGUAUCCGGCCUGAGAGGGCGCACGGACACACUGGAACUGAAACACGGUCCAGACUCCUACGGGAGGCAGCAGUGGGGAAUUUUGCGCAAUGGGGGAAACCCUGACGCAGCAACGCCGCGUGGAGGAUGACGCCCCUUGGGGUGUAAACUCCUUUCGAUCGGGAAGAUGAUGACGGUACCGAUAUAAGAAGCCCGGCUAACUUCGCGCCAGCAGCCGC